UUCAAAAACAUAUGGAAAAACUGAUUUCUAAACAGAGUAUUUUUAAAGUGUUUUAUAAAUAUGAUACAAUUUUUUGCUAUUAAAAUCUGAAGUUAAAUGUAUUUCUUUAUUUACCAGUCCUUCACUAUAUUCAGGCCUUAAAUGUAAUUUUCAUCUACCUCCUAAACACUCAUCUGUAAAUCUACAUUUAUCUAUAGAUAUAAGAAAUAUGAUUUGUUAGAUCCUCUAAAUAUUAAAAAUAAAAACUGAUAAAUGCCCUCUUGCUGAUCAUUGUAUGAUUCUAAAAUAUACAUGUCUAUAAGAAUCCAAUUGGCUUAACAGGAGACCAAGAAGCAAGAUGAAUAAGCAGAGAACUGCAC
rnacentral:lncRNA from 1 species